CCUACGGGCGGCAGCAGUCGAGAAUCAUUCACAAUGGGGGAAACCCUGAUGGUGCGACGCCGCGUGGGGGAAUGAAGGUCUUCGGAUUGUAAACCCCUGUCAUGUGGGAGCAAAUUAAAAAGAUAGUACCCCAAGAGGAAGAGACGGCUAACUCUGUGACAGCAGCCGCGGUAAUACAGAGGUCUCAAGCGUUGUUCGGAAUCACUGGGCGUAAAGCGUGCGUAGGCUGUUUCGUGAGUCGUGUGUGAAAGGCGCGGGCUCAACCCGCGGACGGCACAUGAUACUGCGAGACUAGAGUAAUGGAGGGGGAGCCGGAAUUCUCGGUGUAGCAGGGAAAUGCGUAGAUAUCGAGAGGAACACUCGUGGCGAAGGCGGGUUCCUGGACAUUAACUGACGCUGAGGCACGAAGGCCAGGGGAGCGAAAGGGAUUAGAUACCCUGGUAGUC
rnacentral:rRNA from 1 species